CGCUCCCAGCCCGGCCAGUGUGGAGAGGGAGAGGCCAGACCUGAAGUCCUCCCAGCCAGGGUCGCUCCCAGCCCGGCCAGUGUGGAGAGGGAGAGUCUAGUGUCUCCAUACCUGGUUCUUCUUGAACUCCGAACUGUCAAAGACCCGGUGAAGGAGAACCAGUGAACGGACCAGGAAUGUUCUCCUGCGGUGCUACAGGGGCCCAAGGUUGACAGACAGUCAAUGUUGAGACAAAGAUGUCUUUAUUUAAACAGGGAGUCAAUGCUGAGACCAGGGAGUCAAUGCUGAGACCAAGGUGUCUUUAUUUAGACAGGGAGUCAAUGCUGAGACCAAGGUGUCUUUAUUUAGACAGGGAGUCAAUGUUGAGACCAAGGUGUCUUUAUUUAGAGACAGGGAGUCAAUGCUGAGACCAAGGUGUCUUUAUUUAGAGACAGGGAGUCAAUGCUGAGACCAAGGUGUCUUUAUUGAGACAGGGAGAGGUAGAGGUCAUGUGAUGUAAUUACACAGGCCGAUGCUGCAGGGAUGUAGAGGUCAUGUGAUGUAAUUACACAGGCCGAUGCUGCAG
ensembl:lncRNA